CUUCUAGUUUCUAACCCUCCAUUUAUAAAAUAAGAAAUAGAUUACAUUCUUCUUACCUUUUCCUACCUGUGCAAGAUAAUGAGGAUACUUGUAAACAGAUUUACAUUUUAAAAGAAAAUUAACAUAUAGUGGCAAUAUAUUUUUGGGUUAGUUUCAAGUGAAAGAAGGUUUGGAUGGAGCACACAGCCCAAAAGAGGUAAAAGCAGACAGAGAGCAAAAGCCAAUGAUUCUAAGAUACUGAGAUGAAAAUGGAUGCAAAGGAAUUUUAUGGCAGGUCCAGGUUAUUUGGCUCAACUAUUUGAUCAUAAAUAAGUUGGCCAGUUGGCAUCUGGGGUUGGUACAUUUCAUUCAUUCAUUCAAUAAACAUUUAUUUACCUCUUUGAUGUUCAUUGGGUUUUUAUCAAUGUAGAACAUCAGGUCCUUGCUUUCGUGAAACUUACAUUCUAGUGCAGGAGACAGAUAAUAAGAACUUCAACACAUAAAUUUACAAUUCUAGUAGCUAUAAAAAGAACAAAGGGUAAAAAAAGAAAAUAAGUAACUAUAUGCAGUGGUGGAUGCUUAUUAUAACUAGACUUACUGUGGUCAUUAUGCCAUGAUAUUUACAUAUAUUGAAUCAUGUUUUACACCUGAAAACAAUCUUAUAUGUCAGUUAUAUCUCAAUAAAACAAAAAUAAUAAAGGAGAGUAUGAAUAUAGUUCAUUGUUGGGGUAGGACAGGGUAUAGAUUAGAUCCAAAUGGUUAGAGAAUGCCUUGUUAUGGAAGUGAUAUUUCAAAGUAAGAUAAUACACCAUGCAAGGAUCUAGGGCAAUCAACUCCCAUAUGAAUGAGUACAAGUAAAACCUUGGGGUUUUCGAAGAAUAAGAAAGGUUGAUUUGUCUCGCAUAAGGAAAAUGAUACAUGAGGCUGAAGAGGUAGGCAGCAUCAGAUCAUCUAGGCCACAAUAAAAAGUGUUUUAUCUGAACUCCUAGGGAAGCCUGCUAAAUACUAUAUAGUAGGAAGAAGGCUUAAUAAAAAUCUCUCCUUAAUAAAAUCAAUACCUUCACCAGGUCUUCCUGUCUUGGAACUACUUAUUUACUUAUAUGUUUGUUUAUGUGUGCCUUUAUUAUAUUAUGUUACAUCUCAUUCUAUUAAGGAUCUGAUAUACUAAAGAGCACCAAAAGAAAGAAUAAGAGAAAUGUGAAUGUUUUGUCCCUUUUUUGGCCACACCCACAGCAUAUGAAAGUUGCCAGGCCAGGGAUUGAAUCCAAGCCACAGCUGUGACCUAUACCACAGGGGCAGCAACACCAGACCCUUAACCCACCAGGCCAGGAACCAAACCUGCACUGCCUCAGAGACAAUGCCAGAUCUUAACCACUGUGGCACAGUGAGAACUCCUAGAAAUGUGAAUUUUAAAAGGACAAAUAGAAUGAUGAUUUACACAUUAUAGGAUAUUCUGCUGGCAUUAAGUCAAGUCUCUAAAUGUGUUAUGAACUUCCCUUAAAAUGAAGUGGGGAAUGGGAAAACAUUAUCUAUUAUACAAUUUUCAUUAACUGUAAAAGGAAAACAAGUUGGUUCAUGGGGAAAGCUAAAUUACUGGUACCUAGUUCUCUCAACCUCUUUCAUGGUGAUUCAUAUGAGAGAGACUAAGAGAUACACUGAACAGUGGCUCCCCAAAAUGUCUGACAUAUAUAUAGUUCAAUACAGCUGAUUCUUAUGGCAUUUCUUAAUAAAAUCAAAAGUAUUAUAAGGAAGUAUAAAUCAGUGUUAGCAAUUAUUCCCAGAUCUAAGUUCUGUGGUACAAAUAUCAACUUUCUGAUGCUCUGCCUUAAUCCAAGUCUAACCCUUUAUCUCACACCAGUCAGAACAGCCAUCAUCAAAAAGUCUACAAAUAAUAAAUGCUGGAGAGGGUGUGAAGAAAAGGGAAUCUUUCUACACUGUGGGGAUGUAAACUGGUAUGGCCACAACAGAGAACAAUAUGGAGGUUCCUUAAAAAGAACUAAAAAACAGAGUUACCAUAUGCUACAACAAUCCCACUCCUGGGCAUAUAUCCAGAGAAAACUCUAAUUCAAAAAAAUGUACACACCCAGAAGUUCAGAGAAGCACAAUCUGUGAUAGUCAAGACAUGGAAGCAACCUAAAUGUCCACUGACAGAUGAAUGGAUAAAAAAGAUGAUAGAUAGAUAGAUAGAUAGAGAUAGGUAGAUAUUAUUAUAUGAGAUCUUAUUAUAUUAGUCAGCCAUAAGAAAACAAUGAGGUAACGCCAAUUACAGCAACAUAGGUGGAUACAGACAUCAUCAUACUUAAGGAAAGUCCCAAGAGAAGUGAAUAAUGAACAUAGAGACAUCUCUUGACACCAGAAGUAAAUGAAUCCUUAAGGAUCAGGGAAAACAGGGCUUACUUCCUGGCAGGCUAAGCUUAUAACCCCUCCAACCUUCAGCAAAAACAUGCAAGGACCCUUAUCAUAAUCACUUCCACUUUUUUUCUCCUCUCUAGUUAUUGUCAAGAAGACUAUCUCUUCUCUCUAAGAAAAUAAAAAAGAAACUUUCGAGAAGCUUCAGUGUAGAAUUACCCCUGCUGUUCCAGGUAAUAAGGUUAUAUUGUUUAGAAGAGAGGAAAAAAAAAAAAAAAACAUAAUCUACCAGCUUUUAACCAAAGCUCUCUUUGCUACAACCAUACACAUGCAACCAAUAUUUCUUAAGUUCUUACUGGUCAGGGAAUGGUCAAGUUACUUCCACAUGAAUUUAUUUCAGUCAGUAAUCUUUAUAACAGCCCUUUAAAGAAUACCCAUUUUAUAGCUAAGGAAACUGAGUAUUUAUUUUCUAUGACUAGUAAAACAAAGCUCUUUAGUUCUAAAUCCAAUGCUUUUUCUAUUAUAUACAGUAGCCUACCACACGUCCUAGUCUGGAAAAUUACCCUUCUUCUUAAAUAUUUUCCUGAAAUAGAUUAUCCAAUGUUACACAUGGGGCAGAGCCCUCACUGAAACUACACAAAUUAACUAAAGGAGGGAACUGACUUGUCGUGAGACAUCUCUGGCUUGGAUAUAUAGAGAGGGCCAGCAAAUAGGUACCAAGGCUUCUACUGUACUGAGCUUUAAGAGGAAAUUAAAAAAUCAGGGAAUGUCUCCCUUGCACUCUGGGUAGCAUGACCUGGCUUGCUCAGAAAUAGUCUAUCUCAACUUUUCCAGGGUUAACUUAUUUAACAAGUAAUCCAAAAAAAAAAAGGGGGGUGAUUAUUGUUAAUUAACUCAGUGCAAGUAGCCUGGGUACAUAAACACAGACCUCAUUGUACCCAUCUUCAUAGUGCCCUCUGUAGUUGAUGCAAGGUGAAUUUACCAGCCUUUUAUGUUUGGUUGGUUGGUUGGUUGGUUUUUUGAGAGCUUCAGCUUAGACAUAAGGUGGUAACAUCAUAAUUUCUUCUGUACAGAGGAGCUCAAUAAUAAAAGGUAAGUAACAAUACAGUCUGGUUAAAUAUAUUAGAUUGAGCAUAAAAUAGUGAUGAUAAUUCCUGUUCUCUAGGAUAUCUUCCUGUUUUCUAAAAUAGCUUUGUAAGACUUCUGGCACAGAAUUGCUGAGAGGGAAAGGUUUUACUUAAAAGUCUAACAUGAUCAAUUUUUCCAUUUUAAGAAGCACUGCGUUGCUGCUUGGAAAAUGGAGGACAAAAGGGCAAAACUAGAAACAAGGAGCUGUGUUAGAAUGCUGCUGCAGAAGUCCAAAACAGAAAGGAUGAUAGUUUGAACUUAAGAGAUGACAGUAAAGACAGAGGAGUGAAUGAUACGAGCCAUAUUUGAGAAACAGAAGCAUCCUGCUGAUGAAUUAGACAUGAGGGGUAAAAGAUGUAACAUUGAAAUAAACCAGACCAGAAAGAGUAUGUUCUUGAACAUUAACUAAGCCAUUUAAAGUGCUGAAAAUAUUUUGAGAAGAUAGACAAAGUUUAUCACACACACAAAAAUACCUUUUUAAAAGGAUCCUGCAAAACACUUUGAUUUAUUUUUAUUAUUAUUAUUAUUAUUUUUUAUUUUCUUGGGCCACACCCAUGGCAUAUGGAGGUUCCCAGGCUAGGGGUCUAAUCGGAGCUGUAGCCACCAGCCUAUGCCACAGCCACAGCAAUGCCAGAUCUGAGCUGCGUCUGCAACCUACACCACAGCUCACAGCUAUGCCGGAUCCUUAACACACUGAGCAAGGCCAGGGAUCGAACCCACAACCUCAUGGUAGUCGGAUUCGUUAACCACUGAGCCAUGAAGGGAACUCCAAAACACUUUGAUUUAAACUGUCCUAACCACAAAAGGUAAUAAAUUAUUUUCACCUAUGGAAAAACUGAAUGACUUUUCUCUUAGUUGGUAUUAAACUGUAGACCUAAAAAUGACUUUUUUACCUUUACGAAAUUUAGAGUUCUUAAAUGACUUUUGCAUGUUAUAGCCAAUUUUCUUUUGACUGACUCCUUCUAUUCAUUAGAAGUUAUUGUAUCAUUAUGGCUCCAAUAUUAACUAAAAUUCCCAUUCAAAGAAAAGGGCAUUAGGAAAAAUACUUCAGAAAAACAGAGAAUUGCUUCAGAAAAUGCCAUAUUCUGUACAUGUACAUGAUGAAAUACUACUCAGUCAUAAAAGAAAAAUGAAAUGAUGCCUUUUUCAGCAAUACUGACGAACCUAGAGAUUAUCAUACUAAGAGAAGUAAGUCAGAAAGAGAAAGACAAAUAUAUCAGUAUAUAUGGACUCUAAAACAUGAUACAAAUGAACUUAUUUACAAAACAGAAGCAGGCUCACAGACAUAGAAAACAAAUUUAUGGAUACCAUAGGGAAAAGGCGGUGGGAGGAGGGAUAAAUUAGGAUUUGGGACUAGGAGAUACAAACUGCUAUAUAUAAAGUAGAUAAACAACAAGGUCUUACUGUGUAGUACAGGGAACUAUAUCCAAUAUCCUGUAAUUAAACCAUAAUGGAAAAGAGUUUUUUUAAAAAAAUAAAAUACCGCUUUCUUUCUGAUGACAUGUGGAAUCUGAAAAAAGGACAGACUGAACUUCUUUGCAGAACAGAUGCUGACUCACAGACAUUAAAAAACUUAGGGUCUCUGGAGGAGACAGUUUGGGGGGUGGGGGGAUGUGCUUGGAUUGUGGGAUGGAAAUCCUGUGAAAUUGGACUGUGAUGAUCAUUAUACAACUAUAGAUGUGAUAAAUUCAUUUGAGUAAUAAAAAAAUUUUUUAAAAUACCACUUUCUGAACAUUUUCAUCCUCAAUAAAAAUGGUAUCAAGUAAUGCAAAUACAUAUUAGAUAUUUUAUGUCUGGUUUAAGUUCACCUUCAAGAGAUGAAUAUGUGGUACCUGAAACUUAAUCUCAGUCCCUAGCCACAUGUCCUUAAAAUCUGAGAGGAAAGGGCAUUUAGAAAGGGUAAGUUUAUGGUACAAGAACCAAAUCCUCCCACAUAUGAGGUACUGAAAGACCUGAGGUAACUGUAGACAUAAACUACAAGGAUCUUGGGAAAUUUUAUCAGCCACAUGAGUCCCCCAUGUCACUGAAACCAUAUAAAAUCUGUAACUAGAUGUGGCUCAAAGAUGGACAGUUCUGCACAUAUUUAAUAAUUUUCAAAACAUUAACAGUUUAUUAAUCUCCUGUCACAGUUUUUCUUCCUCU
rnacentral:lncRNA from 1 species